AGUGAACGCUGGCGGUAGGCCUAACACAUGCCAGUCGAACGGCAGCACAGUAAGAGCUUGCUCUUACGGGUGGCGAGUGGCGGACGGGUGAGGAAUACAUCGGAAUCUACUUUUUCGUGGGGGAUAACGUAGGGAAACUUACGCUAAUACCGCAUACGACCUACGGGUGAAAGCAGGGGAUCUUCGGACCUUGCGCGAAUGAAUGAGCCGAUGUCGGAUUAGCUAGUUGGGGGGGUAAAGGCCCACCAAGGCGACGAUCCGUAGCUGGUCUGAGAGGAUGGUCAGCCACACUGGAACGGAGACACGGUCCAGACUCCUACGGGAGGCAGCAGUGGGGAAUAUUGGACAAUGGGCGCAAGCCUGAUCCAGCCAUACCGCGUGGGUGAAGAAGGCCUUCGGGUUGUAAAGCCCUUUUGUUGGGAAAGAAAAGCAGCAGGUUAAUACCCCGCUGUUCUGACGGUACCCAAAGAAUAAGCACCGGCUAACUUCGUG
rnacentral:rRNA from 1 species